rnacentral:rRNA from 1 species
UACGUAGGGUGCGAGCGUUGUCCGGAUUUAUUGGGCGUAAAGAGCUCGUAGGCGGUCUGUCGCGUCGAAUGUGAAAGCCCAGGGCUCAACUCUGGGUCUGCAUUCGAUACGGGCAGACUAGAGUAUGGCAGGGGAGACUGGAAUUCCUGGUGUAGCGGUGAAAUGCGCAGAUAUCAGGAGGAACACCGGUGGCGAAGGCGGGUCUCUGGGCCAAAACUGACGCUGAGGAGCGAAAGCGUGGGGAGCGAGCAGG